CUGAGAAAUUCCCUUAUAGAAGACCUCAGUUUCUCCCAUUUCAGAAUUUAACUGAAAAAAAUGCACAUCUAUCCAUCCCCAUGCUUCAUUUAGGCUGCAAAUCCUUUUUAUCUUUUAAAAUACUACAUGUGUUUUUCCAUAAUACUUAAGAAAUUUUAUAGCACUUGGUGCUAUCAGGAGAACUAACCCAUCAACUUUUGCUACAUAUUUGCUGGACUAGCUUUUUUUCUUUUUUCUUUUUUUUUAAAUAGGAGUUUGAUUCUAAAGAAGGUAUAUUACAAGGAGACAUCUACCAAAUACAUCUAGGAUAAAUUCCUAAAUUUCUUUCUUCCUUUUGCUUUCCAGAAGCAACGACCCCCACCAAAGUGCGCUGCUCCCUGCCUGGCAGGAGAUCUGGCAAAGAGUCCUGUGCAAACAUUCCAUAAAGGCGUCUAACAGCCCUGCCUGCUGCUCUGGCUUCUCUCUCUUUGUGACCACACAGAAGAUGCUCCAGUCAAAUCUACCGUGAGAAAGACUAGAAGAGCUGAGCUCUCCUCACCUGAUCCAUCCUUCCUGAAAUCAGAAGCUGGAAUAUAAGAAUUCCCUCUUUCAGAACACUGCUGGUGAUGGAUAGUAUAUUUUCUCUGUAUUCUUGCUUAGUAGCAACCAAACAAUCUGGCCUUCCCAUCUGUUACAUAUUCAGAUGACUCCUAUUAAAAAUACUUAUGCUGUUCUCAUUCAACUGCUAUUUCAAUGCAGUUCAUUUACCUCCAAUAAAAUAAAACAAAGCAGCA